AACACCGGGCUCCCCGGAACACGUUGAGCCGGAUUUGUCCCCGGAAUCACCCGUCGAUGAUGUAGAGCGCUCCAGUCAGGCCGCAGAUGGGAGGUCACGUAACGGAUCACCGGUAGAAGCGCGGGGACUGAUAGCGGAGGAAAUCAUUCAUCCGGACCCAGCAGAACCGUGUACGCCGCUGAAUCAGACUGAGCCUAUACCGAACAACGGACCUCGGAAAAGGGAACACCGUAGAAGGCUCAUUUCAACCAGCAGCAGCAGCAGGAGCAGUAGUAGGAGCAGCACAAACAGACCCCGACGAUCCGUGAGAGGCUGUCAGAAUUGCUGUCGGACUGCCCAUGAACAACUAGUUCUAAUGAGUAAUGCUUUCCGACUAAUGGGUGAAAUGCUGGCUGUCUACAGUGAUCAUAAUUAGUAAGAACCACUACUAUGGUAUAAAAAAUCUAAAGGCCUUUCUGGGUUCCCCAUAUCUGUGUGAGUACUGUUACACAGGGUACAACGGUGUGCUGAGUCACCGAUGCCCUGCUCAUUGUUCCGUUUGCUUUGACCCUACCUGUAAUCAGAAGGGGUUCCAGCCUAUUGUGUGUAAAGAGUGUAACAGGACAUGUCGUUCAGAAUUCUGUCUGACAAAGCACAAAGAGCCUACAGA